AUUGAACGCUGGCGGCAUGCCUAACACAUGCAAGUCGAACGGUAACAGGAAGAGGCUUCCUUCUUUGCUGACGAGGGGCGGGCGGGUGAGACAUGUCGAGGAAACACCCUGAUGAAGGGGGUUAACUACUGGAAACGGUACCUAAUACCGCAUAUCGUCUCAAGCGCAAAGAUCAAGACCUUCAGACCGCUUGCCUUCCGCUUUUACCUGAUUCCGGACGGUAUUAGCUAGUUGGUCAGGUAACGGCGGACCCAGGCAACGAUGCAUAGCAGAUCUGAGAGGAUGAUCAGCCACACUGGAACUGAGACACGGUCCAGACUCCUACGGGAGGCAGCAGUGGGGAAUAUUGCACAAUGGGCGAAAGCCUGAUGCAGCAACGCCGCGUGUAUGAAGAAGGUCUUCGGGUUGUAAAGUACUUUCAGCGGGGAGGAAGAGAGGAAAGUUAAUAUCUUUACUUCUUGACGGUACCCGAAGAAGAAGCCCCGGCUAACUACGUG
rnacentral:rRNA from 1 species